AGUAGGCAAUUUCUUAGCGAAUAUUCACUGUGUGUCCUCUCUCCCUUGAAAAAGCUGUACGAGUUGAUACUUUCCUUUUUAACUUUUGGACUUCGAACGGUUACCGUCCCAUCCACCAGUGAGAGCGUUAGGUUAGGUACAUGAAUUAUAAUGUUAAAAAAUCUAUACAAUUCAAUCAUUCACUAUUUAUUCUCUUGCGAACACACAGUAAACUACUCUACUACAGCGUCCAAUAUAGGCAUUACCGUCGAUCCAUUUGGACACAGAAAACUUCCUUAAAAUGGCGCUGUUUAAAAAUCAAACGUUCGAAAAUAAUAACACUUUUAUAUUAUAAUACGAUGAACGCAUAUUUCUAUAAUUCGUUGUUAAAAUAUCAAUAAAAAUUAUCAAACGGUAUAUUAUUAUUUCUCGGGAAAUCCCGUAUCUAAAAAUUAUAAAGCUGGGGCAUUUCAUUUGACGGGCAGCCGUCAUUUCGGCGAUGACCGAUACUCUUUUUUUU